UAGACAACGAAUUAACGGAACCUUAAGUUUGAACAGUUCAUCCUUUGCCGCCACUCAGUCCACCACUAUGCCAUCACCGCCUCCAUUUCCGCCGUAGUAAUUGCUGAAAAAUCACAUAUCGCCAAUUUAUAUCUCGUCCUUUUGAAUGAAGAAAAGGCUGCAAAGCCUCUUCGGUUCUCUAUGCGAUUGCGGCGGUUGCCUGCGUCACAGAAAUGUUUCUUACUCUAUCUCCACUUCUCAAAGACCUGGACCUGGAGGUAUAUUGAACCCAGAUAGACAUUUUCAUUGUGGUGAACAAAAUCUGAAAGAUAGCAACUGUCGCACCAUGCCACCUCAUGCGGUUCGAUUGCAUAUUCAAGAUCGUCAUGUCGUGAUGGAUAAUGGCAUAGUUCAAGUCACAUUAUCAAAACCUGAAGGAAUUGUUACUGGCAUACGAUAUGAUGGAAUUGACAAUUUGCUUGAAGUUCUUAAUCGUGAAACAAAUAGAGGGUAUAUGAUGUUACAGCUACUUUAGUUUCUCAAAUUUGUUUCCUUUUAAGGUCUUCUUUUCCUGCUGAAUAUCUAGGCUACACAGUAGGUGGUAGCACUGUUGAAGCAUGGCUUCAAUCCCAGGGCUUCAUUGUGGUAACCAAUAACAUCGCUGUGCUGACUAGCAUCUUCCAGAUAUCCUAUUCGUAUGGAUGUUAAAAAAAAAUAUUGAUAUCAUGUGAAAAGAUAUAUAUAGAUAUUAUCCGGUCAAGAAGGUAUUUUUAUGAGUUUUCAUUAAGGCAGCUCUGUUUGCUACGCAGGUAUUGGAUUAGAUGAUUCAGAUUUCAGAAUUAUAAAAUUAAGAAUAAUCUGAUUUUUUUUUUCAUUUUAUUUUGUUUUUUGACUGAUUAAUGUCACAUUACUAGAAAAUUGACUCUUAACUUUUAUGUGUAGAUAUUGGGAUCUUUUCUGGAAUCCACCAGGAGGCAAGGGAAUCUUUGAUGUGAUUAGUGGAACAAGUUUCAGGGUGAUUGUGGAAAAUGAGGAACAGGUUGAGCUCUCAUUCACAAGAAUGUGGGAUCCCUCCCUGGAGGGAAAGUACAUUCCCCUAAACAUAGAUAAAAGGUUUAUAUUACUCCGUGGUUCUUCAGGCUUCUACUCUUAUGCCAUCUAUGAGCACUUACAAGAGUGGCCAGGUUUUGAACUUGGCGAAACCAGGAUCACUUUCAAACUCAGAAAAGACAAGUUUCAGUAUAUGGCUGUAGGAGAUAAUCGGCAAAGACUGAUGCCCCUGCCUGAUGACCGUAUGCCAGGAAGAUGUCAAACCCUGGCCUAUCCAGAAGCCGUCCUUCUUGUUAAUCCUAAGUUCCCAGAGCUUAAAGGAGAGGUGGAUGACAAGUACCAAUAUUCAUGCAAUAAUGAAGACAAUCAGGUCCAUGGGUGGAUGUCCUUCAACCCACCAGUGGGGUUUUGGCAAAUUACACCAAGCAAUGAAUUCCGAACUGGUGGGCCCCUCAAACAGAACCUGACCUCACAUGUUGGCCCCACCACGCUUGCUAUGUUCCAUAGUUCACAUUAUGCGGGAAAUGAUCUGGUGCCAAGGUGCAACCUUGGCGAGCAUUGGAAGAAAGUUUUUGGCCCAGUUUUCAUCUAUCUUAAUUCUGCAUCAACUGGAAAUGACCCACUUUUUCUGUGGGAAGAUGCCAAAAUACAGAUGAUGGCUGAAGUCCAAAGCUGGCCAUACAGUUUUCCAGCCUCUGCAGAUUUCCAAAAGUCAGCAGAACGAGGGAAUGUAUGUGGUAGACUACUUGUCCAAGACAUGUGUAUGAGUGAGGACCAUAUUAUAGCAAGUGGUGCUUAUGUAGGGAUGGCCCCACCAGGUGACGUUGGAUCAUGGCAGAGAGAAUGCAAGGACUACCAAUUUUGGACCAGAGCAGAUGAGAAUGGCUUUUUCUCCAUUAAAAACGUCCGUACAGGGGACUAUAAUCUUUAUGCAUGGGUUCCUGGAUUCAUUGGGGAUUAUCGAUUUGAAGCUGUCAUUACCAUAAACUCAGGUUGUAAUAUCGAAAUGGGUGAUCUUGUAUAUAAGCCUCCUAGAGAUGGACCUACAUUGUGGGAAAUAGGCAUCCCUGAUCGUUCUGCUGCAGAAUUUUAUGUUCCUGAUCCUGAUCUAGUGCAUGUCAAUAAAUUAUUUAUCAAUCAUCCUGACAGGUUUAGGCAAUAUGGGUUGUGGAGCAGAUAUGUGGAUUUAUAUCCCGAGGCGGACUUGGUUUACACAGUUGGUGUCAGUGACUAUCGCAAAGAUUGGUUUUUUGCACAGGUAGUGAGGAGGAAAGAUGAUGGUACACAUGUAGGUACCACAUGGCAAAUAAAGUUCAAACUUGACAAAGUUGAUCGAAGGAACACCUACAAAUUGCGCGUGGCAUUGGCAUCUGCAGCUCUGGCAGAACUGCAGGUUCGUGUUAAUGACCCAAAUGCCCCCCGCCCUGUAUUUACAACUGGACUAAUUGGAAGGGACAAUUCGAUCGCAAGACAUGGGAUUCAUGGGCUCUACCGGCUGUACAAUGUGAAUAUACCAGGUGUUCGGUUAGUUGAAGGAGAGAAUACCAUCUUCUUGACACAGCCAAGAUGCACCAGCCCUUUCCAGGGUCUCAUGUAUGACUAUAUUCGUCUGGAAAGUCCUCCAUCUUCAUGAUCCAUAAAUGAAAUUUCAUGUUCAUGUAAGUAAAAUAUUUUCAAAAUGGUUCACAAAAUAAUGCGUGUGUGUAUGUAUGCCUAUGUCUGAGUUUACCUUCAUAGGACAAUAAGCCAAAAUGUGUCGAUGUACGGAUGAGCUAAAUGUGGAAUACAACUAUGCAUAUGAUAAUUUAU
rnacentral:misc_RNA from 1 species